GGAGGUGGCUGGGGACUUGAAAUAAGAGGCAGAGCAGGAGCAUGAGGAAGGGCCGUAACUGGAGGAAGCUGAAAGAGCCAAGGAUAGAAAAGUAGAGAAACACACCAAGGAAUUUCUGGUGGUAUUCCACUUCCAAGGAUCCUCGAGGUUUCUGCUGGAUGGAGCCACUGCUGCUGACUUUGGUGUUUGCUAUUGGACUGGACUGCUGAUAUCCUGACAACAAAGAUUGGAACUACCCCUAAAAACUACUUCUAAGACUGAAAGGUAUGAAGAUCUGUGGCAAGAGGCAUGUCAGAGAAUAAGCCGAAGAAUUCUGUUAUUUUAUAGCAUUAGAUCUUCUUUCCUGUCAAAUCUGUCACUUGUGCCCUGACUCUGGCUGGGAUGAAGAGAACAAGAUGGAAAUAAAGAUAUGGAAUGCAGUGUACACUAUGUGUUUCUGCACUAACUUCCUGAAUGACUUCCUGGAUUGUGUUGCUGGAGAUGGCUCUCUGUGGACUCCUGUAUCAAUGUUUCCCUGGCAUGGGGGCAGAGCAGUCUCAGUGGUAUGUUUCUAGCUGCUGUCCCAGCCUAAAGGAUUUAAUUAUGCGUGAAGAGUUGAAACUGGAUUAUUUCUUGUUUCUUGAAUGUUGUAUGUUCCAGGCUUUGAGCCUUAGCCUACCUGAAACUCUUUCUUGCUAUCUACAGACAACCUUAUGUUUCUGGGGUCAUCUCAAAUGCUGUUCUUUCUAUAAAAUAUUUGUCCUAGAAGUGAUCCUUAGUUGAUUUUCUUACAUCACUAGCUUCUUUUAUCCACCAUUGUAGUUAUUUGUGUCCUUAUUUCAUUUUCAUAUGGAAACUAUAAACUCUGAAGAAAGGGAGAAGUGUAACAAAUUUAUGUGCUGAUUAUUUAUUCACUUAAAAAGCAUUGGUUUUCCUUAAGCUAUGGAUGAGAAUUGAGUUACUAGGGCAUUCAGCAAAUAUGAGGUGGAUUCUAUUAAAUGCUGUUAUAACAUAUAC
rnacentral:lncRNA from 1 species